rnacentral:lncRNA from 1 species
GCCAUUGAGUACCAUAGAUAUGAAUUAGCAACAAAGAGAAGAUAUAUAAUCAAAGAUGAUUGAUACCAUUACAAAGAGUAGAUAUAUAAUUAAAAGAUGAUUGAUACCACAGUUGUUUCAAUACAUAUUCCAUAAUAUAAAAGUCAACCAGUUAAUAUCAUUACAUGGCCCAAAAGGUAGAUCCUAGAAAGAACAGCAGACAAGGCUAGCUACAAGGAUCUAGUAGAGCUCAUGACUAGAUGGAUCAGAAUCAGAUGUAUCAGAGAUGGGGUGGGGAGAUGAUGGAUCACGACCAAGGACUCGUCCUCUACCCCGUCUGCCUCUGCCAUGAGUGGAGGUGCUGGCACGAGUAGGUGGGCGAGAUGAUCCUAAAGGCUGAGAGGCCAUAGACUGGACUGCAAGAGAGAGCCUGAUGGAAUCAAAAAUGUUCAGAGCUCUCGAAACAGACUGAAGUAGUGCAGUGAACUGUGUAGAAGCAUGCUCACUUGAGCCUCUGAUCUCUCUCCUCAAGAAAUCAAAACCACCCUCCAAAACACCUCUGAGUCUGCCAGCCUCCGCAGUUAGGUUUGUGACCUCAAUAGUGCACUCCUGUGACUGAGGAUGGGCCAAAGCUAAGACUUGCCCCUGCAAGUCAAGUACUCUCCCAGUCAGUCUCAAAAUGUAAUCCUCGAGCUGCUGAAUCCGAACUGACUAAUCUGUGAUCAUCUGAAAUACAGUGAAGAUAUGGGGGAUCAAGGUCUGAUUAGAUGCAUCUAAUGAUGUGGAUCCCGAUGCAAACGCAGAAGUGCUCCACUGACGAGAAAGCAAGGAAGCCACACGUUGAGAAAUCUGCUCAAUCUGAUCAUCAGCCAAUCUGAACUCUGAGGGAGGUGCUCUGCUGUCUGGCUGCUGAACUGGUGUGUGCCUCCUGGUGGACUCUGAAGGGCCAGCCUCUGGAUCUGAAACAAACUGGAUAUCUGGAGAUGCUGCCCUGAAAUCAUGGAGAGGUGAUGAGG